rnacentral:tRNA from 1 species
CCCCUGGUGGUCUAGUGGUUAGGAUGUGGCACUCUCACUGCCGUGGCCCGGGUUUGAUUCCCGGUCAGGAGA